rnacentral:tRNA from 1 species
AGCUCGUUAGCUCAGUUUGGUAGAGCGUUCGACUCGUAAUCGAAAAGACGUGGGUUCAAAUCCCACAUUGGCAA